ACGUAGGGCGCGAGCGUUGUCCGGAAUUAUUGGGCGUAAAGAGCUCGUAGGCGGCCUGUUGCGUCCGCUGUGAAAGCCCGGGGCUUAACCUGGGAACUGCGUUUGAAACUACAAGGCUAGAGUGUGGCAGAGGGGGGUGGAAUUCCACGUGUAGCAGUGAAAUGCGUAGAGAUGUGGAGGAACACCGAUGGCGAAGGCAGCCCCCUGGGUUAACACUGACGCUCAGGCACGAAAGCGUGGGGAGCAAACAGGA
rnacentral:rRNA from 1 species